rnacentral:rRNA from 1 species
AGUGGCGGACGGGUGAGUAACGCGUGAGAAUCUGCCUUGGGGUCGGGGACAACCACUGGAAACGGUGGCUAAUACCGGAUACGCCUUCGGGUAAAAGAUUUAUUGCCCUAAGAGGAGCUCGCGUCUGAUUAGCUAGUUGGUGAGGUAAGAGCUCACCAAGGCAGCGAUCAGUAGCUGGUCUGAGAGGACGAUCAGCCACACUGGGACUGAGACACGGCCCAGACUCCUACGGGAGGCAGCAGUGGGGAAUUUUCCGCAAUGGGCGAAAGCCUGACGGAGCAAGACCGCGUGAGGGAGGAAGGCUCUUGGGUUGUAAACCUCUUUUCUCAGGGAAGAAGCUCUGACGGUACCUGAGGAAUCAGCCUCGGCUAACUCCGUGCCAGCAGCCGCGGUAAUACGGAGGAGGCAAGCGUUAUCCGGAAUUAUUGGGCGUAAAGCGUCCGCAGGUGGCGAUUCAAGUCUGUUGUCAAAGCACGGGGCUUAACUCCGUAAAGGCAGUGGAAACUGAAUAGCUAGAGUGCCGUAGGGGUAGAGGGAAUUCCCGGUGUAGCGGUGAAAUGCGUAGAGAUCGGGAAGAACAUCGGUGGCGAAAGCGCUCUACUGGACGGCAACUGACACUCAGGGACGAAAGCUAGGGGAGCGAAUGGGAUUAGAUACCCC